UUUGAGUGAGCUUUGGGGAUGGGGAGGUUCUGGAAAUGACCCCAUAGGCCCCAGUGAGGGAAAGCCUCACUUUGGUUCGCAAUGCUGAGGCGGGCAGGGCAGAGCAGUCCCAGGGUGUGUUGUCACUUGUCUCGCGUGCCUUCUGUGUCUUCUGUGCCUUCUGUGCAUCUCGUGUAAUGUGUCUCUUGCCUUAGCCCUCCCAGGGGCUUAUGAGAAACCCUGGGGUCCUUCCGUUCAUCUCCCAUCUUUGCGUUCCUCGGCCCGACGCCGGCGAAGCUUCGAUUCGGGAGGUCGGACACAUGUCAGAAUCGCAUCUGUCUUCAGAAGCACGUGAUCUUUUUAGGUCUCGUUCUCAGCUGUGUCAACAGCUAUAUGCAGCAAUGUCUCUUUACAGUGGAUAAGGACUUGUGCCGAUUCAAAGGCAGGCAGAGGCUUCCAGCCACAGGAUUCUCGGGCAUCCGUCUCUGCGGUUCUUGGAAAAUAGUUGUUCCGUUAGCGUCUUUUUCCUCCAGGGUCAUCCGAGCCCGGCAGGCUCGCCUCGGGUCCCUCCUCGGUCAUCUCGUUCAGCAUUCUCUCGGUCCUCGUGAGGACUUUCUUGUCUCAGGGAGUUUUCACUCAGGGAGACACUCCCUCGUCUCACGUGUCACGGGUGUCUGGGGGUAUUCGGUCCGGAGCUGCUCUGCCCUGCCGCCCAGCCCGGUUGUAGGCGUUCAAGGACAAGUCCCGGGCACUUGUAAUCGGAGACUUGUAGUACGGGCUGUAGUUGGAGUCUAGGUGGUAUUCUUAUGUUGGCAGAAGGUGUUUGGAGCUGUGAAGUUACCCUGCAGCACUUUGACUUUUUUCCUAACUUUCUUUCAGAUGCAGACGGUUUGACGUCGUGGCAGAGCAGCUAUCCCAGAUGAUGGGGGUCCCCCUGAGAAGGAAGUAAAGCCGGAUAGCAGCAGAGAAGGUGAAGCAUUGCGAAGGUGGUCUACUUGCAAGGUAUCCCAGCCAAGGAUACUGGAGGACAGGUGGGUGCAAGCUCUGUGUGUUUUGGUGUUUAAGUCCCUGGUUUGCUGCUAGUCUUUAGUUCUCUAAGAUAGAAUGAAAGAACCACAUCACAGAUCCCACCUUGCGGAUCCUGACACAUACUGGAGGACAGGUGGGUGCAAGCUCUCUGUGUGUCUUGGUGUUUAAGUCCCUGGUUUGCUGCUAGUCUUUAGUUCUCUAAGAUAGAAUGAAAGAACCACAUCACA